AGUGGAAUAGCUGGGUCAAAUUGUGAUUCCAUUCCAAGUUUUCAAAGGAAUCUCCAUACUGCUUUCCAAAGUGGUUUUACCAAUUUGCAGUCCCACCAGCAAU
rnacentral:pre_miRNA from 1 species